GACGAACGCUGGCGGCGUGCUUAACACAUGCAAGUCGAACGGAAAGGCCCUGCUUUUGUGGGGUGCUCGAGUGGCGAACGGGUGAGUAACACGUGAGUAACCUGCCCUUGACUUGGGGAUAACUUCAGGAAACUGGGGCUAAUACCGGAUAGGAGCUCCUGCUGCAUGGUGGGGGUUGGAAAGUUUCGGCGGUUGGGGAUGGACUCGCGGCUUAUCAGCUUGUUGGUGGGGUAGUGGCUUACCAAGGCUUUGACGGGUAGCCGGCCUGAGAGGGUGACCGGCCACAUUGGGACUGAGAUGCGGCCCAGACUCCUACGGGAGGCAGCAGUGGGGAAUAAUGCACAAUGGGCGGAAGCCUGAUGCAGCAACGCCGCGGGCGGGAUGACGGCCUUCGGGUUGUAGACCGCUUUCGCCUGUGACGAAGCGUGAGUGACGGUAAUGGGUAAAGAAGCACCGGCUAACUACGUG
rnacentral:rRNA from 1 species